UACGAAGGGGGCUAGCGUUGUUCGGAAUUACUGGGCGUAAAGCGCACGUAGGCGGAUUGUUAAGUCAGAGGUGAAAUCCCGGAGCUCAACUUCGGAACUGCCUUUGAUACUGGCAAUCUCGAGUCCGGAAGAGGUUAGUGGAAUUCCCAGUGUAGAGGUGAAAAUUCGUAGAUAUUGGGAAGAACACCAGUGGCGAAGGCGGACUAACUGGUCCGGUACUGACGCUGAGGUGCGAAAGCGUGGGGAGCAA
rnacentral:rRNA from 1 species